UGAACUGUAGCUCACUUGUAGGGCGCUUGCCUAACACAUGCAAGGCCCUGGGUUCAAGCCCUAACAAUUCAA
rnacentral:tRNA from 1 species